AUCGAGAGACAGAGGGGAAGAAAAACCCUUUUACCCUAAUUCCUGUAAUCCAUAAAAUUGAAGAAGAUAAUCAAGAAUUUACUUGUGCAUGAACCUGAAUUGAGAUCAUCUAAGCUUUCCUUUCAUGUGGAGUGAAGGAAGAAGGUACGAGCCAAUCCGGAUCGCAAGUGUCGCAAAGUAAAGGUAAAUCCCAUAUUUGACGACGGCAAGCUCGGAUCGAACACACACUAAAUCGCCUUUUGCGCUUCCGGUUCAAGUUAUCUUUUGUAAUAGGUCAAAAUAAUUUUUGUAAUGUAAAUGUAAAACUUAUGUUUUAGGAUGUUCGUAAGUAAUUUGUAUUUUUUUUUAAAACCUUUUGGGUAGU